UAUUUUAAUGAAGGGAGAAUAAUAGAGGUAAGAAUUAGAAAAGAAAUAAGAAAGAAAGAAAGAAAGAAAGAAAGAAAGAAAGAAAGAAAGAAAGAAAGAAAGAAAGAAAGAAAGAAAGAAAGAAAGAAAGAAAGAAAGAAAGAAAGAAAGAAAGAAAGAAAGAAAGAAAGAAAGAAAGAAAGGAACAAAGAAAGAAAGAAAGAAAGGAAGAAAGAAAGGAAGGAAGGAAGGAAGGAAGGAAGGAAGAGAAAGAGAGAAAGAAAAAGAAAGAAAGGAACAAAGAAAGAAAGGAAGGAAGGAAGAGAAAUAAAAAGGAAGAAAGAAAGAAAGGAAGAAAAAAGAAAGAAAGGAAGAAAGAAAUUAAGAAAGAAAAAGAAAGAAAGAAAAGAAAAAGAAAAAAGUUUUGUAUAUCUUCAAGUACUAUAUAAAUGUUAACUGUUAUAGCUCUAAUGAAGUUUCACUAUUUACUUAGUAUGACGUAGUGGAGAAAGCAUUUAACUUGAGGUAAAUAGACUUAUAUGACAGUCUUAGUAUUGCCAAUCUGUAAACUUUCAGGCAAUUUAUUUAUUUUCUUUGGAACUUAGUUUCCAUAUUUAUAAAAUGAGAGGUUUGUGACCACAUGAACUUAAAAGUACUUAAAGCUCUGAGAUCUUAUGAUGUUGUAAAUGCUUGUAGGACUUUUUUUUUUUUACAAACAUACGAAAAUAGAGAAACAGAAAAUAUGGAUAACAGUCAUGAUGGAUGGCAUCUAUUAAGGUUUCUUUGUACUAAGCAAUGUAGUCGAUAGAGCACAAGGGUUGGAAUCAGGAAAAUGAUUCUAAAGAUUCCUGAGAUACUGACUUUGUGAUGUUGGACAAUAGCAACAAUAGAAAUUAUUUAGCUAAUCCUUUAAGCUAAUCCUUGAAAUUUAUGAUCCUAUGUUCCUGAACUAUGUGGUCAACUUGAUUUAUGGAAUAAGGGACAAAUGCAGAACUUUGGCUGCAUUUGCUACUUGAAAGAUAGGCAUAUAUUCUAUUUAUGAACAUAAGUCACACACAUAUACAAUAUAUUAAAAUUACAUGUUAUAUUAUUAAAAUAGAUAAUAUUAUAAUAUAUAACAAUUUUCACUCCAGUUCAGUCAAUGCUUAUGUUUCUCAAAGACAAUGACUAUUUCCUACUUGUCUUUGUAUUUUUUUCAUCCAGUAAUUGGUAUACUGAUUUUUAUAAAUUAGGCACUAAAUAAUUCUUGUUGAAUCAAUUAUAGAUUGCAAAGUACUAGACUUAUUCUAAUGCUAAACACAUUUAUGUUCACAAGAAAUAUCUGAAAAUACUUUCAAAGUUUCCAGACCCAGGAUUAGUCUUUUCCUUUCCAAUAAACCAAUGGCUUAUCUUUACUUAGUGCA
rnacentral:lncRNA from 1 species